AUUGAACGCUGGCGGCAUGCCUAACACAUGCAAGUCGAACGGCAGCACAGCAGUAGCAAUACUGUGGGUGGCGAGUGGCGGACGGGUGAGGAAUACGUCGGAAUCUGCCCAGUCGUGGGGGAUAACUAGCCGAAAGGUUAGCUAAUACCGCAUACGACCGAGAGGUGAAAGCGGGGGACCGCAAGGCCUCGCGCGAUUGGAUGAGCCGACGUCGGAUUAGCUAGUUGGCGGGGUAAAGGCCCACCAAGGCGACGAUCCGUAGCUGGUCUGAGAGGAUGAUCAGCCACACUGGAACUGAGACACGGUCCAGACUCCUACGGGAGGCAGCAGUGGGGAAUAUUGGACAAUGGGCGCAAGCCUGAUCCAGCAAUG
rnacentral:rRNA from 1 species